AUGGCGCUCGGUCGCAUGUUUUCAGCAAAACGUGUGGGUCUAAUAGGAAUAUGUAGUUUGAUCGUCUGAAAUUUGGAUUUGUACGUAAAAUGUCUAAACUACAGGUGUUGAGUGUGUUUAUUACCGAGCGGCUAACAGCAGCGGCUGUGGAUAUAUUUGGUUCGGCGGAGAAGACGUUAGCAGAGUACCGGGAGCGGCUGACAACAGCGGCGGUGGAGAUAUUUGUUGUGGUAGAAAAGACGGUAGCAGAGGUUCAGGGAGAGAACGACCGCCUACGGGGGCUUCUUCUGGAUCAUUUCGGAGCAGACCCCAAGCAGGUAACUCUCCCUGAAGAGGAGGUUCCCCCUAACCAGCAGCCGCACUGUGAGCAGGAGUGGAGCCCCAGUCUGAGGCAGGAGGACCCAGAGCCCACCCAGAUUACAGAGGAACUCCGGACCAGUCAGGAGGAAGAGCAGCUUCAAAGACUUAGGUCUGCUACCACAGAGGUCAUACAGUUGAUAUUUAUUCCUCCCUGUGUGGAAAGUGACUGUGACCAGGACAGCAAAAGGGACUCUCUACCCACCAAUACAACUGAACAGACCCAAUCAGAUGAAGAGCACUACAGUAUCAGAGUAUCAGAGCCAACCAGUGACUCUCAGACGCUCUCUGUACUACAUCCAGACUGUUCUGCAGCUCCAAGUGAAAUCAUUGUAAGUAUUGAUGAGGAGGAGAGUGAAGAACUACCGUCAGGGUCAAAGAGAACCCGGGACAAGAAAGGACAAAGCUCUCAAGUCUGCACUGAAGCCAAGACAACCAACGAGCAGAAAGCACCAUUGAAGUGUCACGCAAGCAAGAGGCGAUACAAGUGUCCUGUGUGCAGUAAACUGUUUAAGGCACCAGUCAGUUUAAAAGUACAUCAGAGAAUUCACAAAGCAGAGAAACGACACACAUGUCCUUUCUGUGGAAAGGGCUUUAAAUCACUAAAUGGUCUACAACGACACAAAAAAGUUCACACAGGGGAGAAAGAACCACAGCAGUGUUCUUUGUGCAGUGAAUCCUUUCUUUGCACAGCUUCUUUAAAAGAUCAUCAGCGAAUUCACAAAGGUGAAAAAACAUAUCUGUGCAAAGAAUGUGGCAAAUCCUUCAGUGUCAAGACCGACUUCAACAAGCAUAUGAGCACUACUCACCCAGAUGCAAAACCGUACAAUUGUCCAGUGUGCAAGGAAUGUUUCAACACACCAGGCUCUCUGAAAAUACAUGGGAAAACUCAUGGAGUGAAUCCAUGCAUCUGUCCUGUGUGUAAUAAAUGCUUUAAGAGGCCACGCUACCUAAAGGAACACCAACAGAAGUUUCAUGGUAGUGAGAAACCAUACACGUGUGCGGUGUGCAGUAAAUGCUUUUAUAAUGUAAGCCAUUUUAAAGUACAUCAGAGAAAUCACACAGGGGAGAAACCCUUCAAGUGUCCUGUGUGUAUUAAAAGCUUUACUAGCUCAGGCCUGUUAAAAAUACAUCAGGUAAUUCAUACAGGUGAGAAACCGCAUAAGUGCAAAGAAUGUGACAAAUGCUUCUACCGCAAGGGACAUCUUGUCAAGCAUAUGAGGACUCACACAGGGGAGAAACCGUAUGGUUGCCGUGAAUGUGAGAAAUGCUUCACUCAAAGGUCAUCAUUAAAAGACCAUAUGAGGAUUCACACAGGGGAGAAACCGUUUUGUUGCACUGAAUGUGAGAAACGCUUCACUCAAAGGGCAACAUUAAACGUGCAUAUGAAGAUUCACACAGGGGAGAAACCAUAUCAGUGUAAAGAGUGUGACAAAUCUUUCAGUCAAAAACAUGAACUGAGAAAGCAUAUGAGAAUUCACACAGGGGAGAAAUCAUACCUGUGCCCUCUUUGUGAAAAAUGCUUUAAAUCAUUGGGUGGUCUGAAACAACACGAGCUGAGUCACUCUGGAGAGAAACCAUCAUAUCUCUGCAGCGAUUGUGGCAAAAGCUUCCGAACGAUGAGUUACUUGAGGGUUCAUAUGAAGACUCACACAGAGAGCGAACCGGGGAGCCGGACAGAGAGCGAACCGGGGAGCCGGACAGAGAGCGAACCGGGGAGCCACAAAAAGAGAAGACUGCAUAUGUGUCCUGUAUGUGGGAAAGGCUUUGCAUAUCCAAAUGUUCUAAAAAUCCACCAGCGAAUUCACACUGGGGAGAAACCACAUCAAUGUCAUGUUUGCAACAAAAGAUUCAUUCAGAAAUGUGAUCUGACAAGACAUAUGAGGACACACACAGGGGAGAAAAGGAGAGAAAAUCAAUCAGAGAAACAGUUGUAUCUUUGUAGUGAUUGUGGCAAGUGCUUCCGGGAGAAACGUUAUCUGAGAAAGCAUAUGAGAAUUCACACAGAGAGAGAUUCGGGAACUAAAACCGAGCGAGAGCUGCAUAAGUGUCCUGUGUGUGGAAAAGGCUGUACGUCACUGAGUUAUCUUAAAGACCACCAGGGAAUUCACACCGGAGAGAAACCGUAUCUGUGCACUGUUUGUGGCAAAAGCUUCACUUGGAAGGGAGUCCUUAGAGAACACAUGAAGACUCACACAGGGGAGAAAUCACAUCAGUGCCAUGUCUGCAGCAAAAGGUUCAUUUAUAGCAGAAAACUGUCACUUCAUAUGAUGACUCACACAGGGGAGAAACCAUUUAAGUGUUCUGUAUGUGGGAAAGGUUUUACAUCAUCGGGUGAUCUGACACGCCACAAGCGAAUUCACACUGGAGAGAAACCAUAUCGCUGCAACGAUUGCAACAAAUGCUUUAGUCAGAUAAGUUCCCUUAAAUCACACAUGAAGAAUAUUCACCAAACAACAGUGUCCAUUGUGUAAAAUGUCAGUUUGAAGAUAAAGGCUUAUUCAAACUGACACCUGUAAGUGAACAUACCCUCAGGUUUGAUAAUAACUGAAUUAUACUGUACUGUAGGCCCUCACUUAUGUGCUUUGUCACCUCUGGGUCUGCAUGGCAAAUUACCCAGGAAGACACUCAAGGGCCAUUCAGCCCUUCCUGACUAUUGAAAUGUGUGUUAGUGAUGCUGUUGCCUCCAUGUUUGGUAUCUCAUAAACUUCUGAAGAGAAUGUUGAUGUCAUCUAUAUGGAUGUAUGAUCUGUGGUAACUUGUAUCUGGACAGGGUGAACUUUAAGCUACUAUGUGUUAAGUUAUUUUAUUGUCCUUAGGAAUUCUGCCUUAUUUGGUUUCCUCCCCCACACAAGCCGUUAGACUCUGACACCCUGUGGAUUUUGGGCCUGGGUGAUCAGGUUACUGUAACUUGUUAUGGUUGGAUGGUUUGAUUAAGUCACCUUGAAAUGUUCUGUCUGUUCCUCAUGUCCUACGCUCUACAGAAAAGCUAUAUGAACAUGUUUUUCUGUCUGUUCCUCAUGUCCUACGCUCUACAGAAAAGCUAUAUGAACAUGUUUUUCUGUCUGUUCCUCAUGUCCUACGCUCUACAGAAAAGCUAUAUGAACAUGUUUUUCUGUCUGUUCCUCAUGUCCUACGCUCUACAGAAAAGCUAUAUGAACAUGUUUUUCUGUCUGUUCCUCAUGUCCUACGCUCUACAGAAAAGCUAUAUGAACAUGUCCUACGCUCUACAGAAAAGCUAUAUGAACAUGUUUUUCUGUCUGUUCCUCAUGUCCUACGCUCUACAGAAAAGCUAUAUGAACAUGUCCUACGCUCUACAGAAAAGCUAUAUGAACAUGUUUUUCUGUCUGUUCCUCAUGUCCUACGCUCUACAGAAAAGCUAUAUGAACAUGUUUUUCUUGUAGGCUGCUCGGCCUGAGUAGGUCUGUUUUUGGUCAUGCUUUGCCUUUUAACUGUAAGAUCCCAGCCCCUCCAAUAUUUUUUCUCUCACACACACUGGAUAGGUGCAGUGAAAUGUGUUGUUUAACAGGGUCAGACAUAGUAGUACAGCCCCCCUGGAGCAAAUUAGGGUUAAGUGCCUUGCUCAUGGGCAAAGACAGAUUUUUCACCUGGUAUUCAAAACAACGCCCUUUCGGUUACUGGCCCAACGCUCUAACCACUAGGCUACCUUGCCGCCCCUGUCAUAUGCCUUUAUAACUUUAUAAUGCUUUAUAACUUAAGCUUCAUGCCUGUGAAUCGUUAAAGUUUUUACAAUGUAGUUAAAUCUAUUUUCCUUUACAAUUUUAAUUUUGACAUUUCUUGAUUAGCCUAUUACUGUAAAAAAAAAAAUCUAAGUAUAUUCUCUAUUCUAAUCAGAUAAUUCAUUAAGAUAUAAAUUGUGAAGUCUUAUCACAGGUCGCAUGUGAGAUAUAUAUAUAUAUAUAUAUAUGAGAUCACGUCGUAGCAAACCUGUUAUGUAUCGGUUGUUACUUUGAAACCUUCAAUAAAUGUUUUUGUAAGCUA